rnacentral:rRNA from 1 species
UACGGAGGGGACUAGCGUUGUUCGGAAUUACUGGGCGUAAAGCGCACGUAGGCGGAUUUGUAAGUCAGGGGUGAAAUCCCGGGGCUCAACCUCGGAACUGCCUUUGAUACUGCAAAUCUCGAGUCCGGAAGAGGUGAGUGGAAUUCCUAGUGUAGAGGUGAAAUUCGUAGAUAUUGGGAAGAACACCGAUGGCGAAGGCAGCCAUCUGGACCGACACUGACGCUGAGGCGCGAAAGCGUGGGGAGCAAACAGG